rnacentral:rRNA from 1 species
GAUAUGGCUCAGGAUGAACGCUAGCUACAGGCUUAACACAUGCAAGGUCGAGGGGCAGCAUGGUCAAAGCUUGCUUGACUGAUGGCGACCGGCGCACGGGUGAGUAGCGCGUAUCCAACCUGGCCCAUAGUAGGGAAUAGCCCGGCGAAAGUCGGAUUAAUGCCCUAUGUUCUUACAGCGGACAUCUAACGUAAAGCAAAGAUUUAUCGCUAUGGGAUGGGGGAUGCGUCUGAUUAGGCUUGUCGGCGGGGUAACGGCCCACCGAGGCGACGAUCAGUAGGGGUUCUGAGAGGAAGGUCCCCCACAUUGGUACUGAGACACGGACCAAACUCCUACGGGAGGCAGCAGUGAGGAAUAUUGGUCAAUGGGCGUGAGCCUGAACCAGCCAAGUAGCGUGCAGGACGACUGCCCUAUGGGUUGUAAACUGCUUUUAUAGGGGAAUAAAGUGGGGCACGUGUGCCUUUUUGUAUGUACCCUAUGAAUAAGGACCGGCUAAUUCCGUGCCAGCAGCCGC